rnacentral:lncRNA from 1 species
AACAUCUAUCUCACUAUCUACUAACAUCUAUACCUCACUAUCUACUAUCAUCUAUUCCCAGCCCUCAUUAUCUACUAACAUCUAUUACCUCACUAUCUACUACAUCUAUUCCCCACAGCCUAUAUCUACUAACAAUUAUUCCCCACAGCCCUCUUAUCUACUAACUCUUCCUCACUAUCUACUAACUCUAUUCCCCCAGACCUCACUAUCUAUAACAUCUAUUCCCCAGCCCUCCUAUCUACUAACAUCUAUUCCUCAUAUCUACUAAACAUCUAUUCCCCAGCCCUCACUAUCUACUAACAUCUAUUACCUCACUAUCUACUACAUCUAUUCCCCACGCCCUCAUAUCUACUACAUCUAUUACCUCACUCUCAUUCCCCACAGCCCUCAUUCUACUAACAUCUAUUCCACCAGCCCUCACUAUCUACUAACAUCUAUUACCUCACUAUCUACUAACAUCUAUUCCCCCAGCCCUCACUAUCUACUAACAUCUAUUACCUCACUAUCUACUACAUCUAUUCCCCACAGCCCUCAUUAUCUACUAACAUCUUUACCUCACUAUCUACUAACAUCUAUUCCCCCAGCCCUCACUAUCUACUAACAUCUAUUACUCACUAUCUACUACAUCUAUUACCUCACAUCUAUUCCCCAGCCCCCACUACUUCUACAACAUCUAUUACUCCACUAUCUACUAACAUCUAUUCCCGCAGCCCUCACUAUCUACUAACAUCUAUUACCUCAUCUGCUCAAUCUUUUACCUCCCUAUCUACUAACAAUCAAAUACCUCACUAUCUACUAACAUCUAUUCCCCCAGCCCUCAUUAUCCAGUUUAACAUAUUAUUUAUUUACCAAACUGUUCAAGAAGCAGACUAGUAUGAAUGAUAGAGACAAAUAUAAUUGUCAACUGCAGUGAAACUGUUAUAAUGUUUUACAUUUCUCUGUUACCUCUAAUCCAGCCCGUCACACCCUACU